AAACUUAAAGGAAUUGACGGGGAGCACCACAACGGGUGGAGCUUGCGGUUUAAUUGGAUUCAACGCCGGAAAUCUUACCGGGACCGACAGCAAUAUGAAGGCCAGGCUGAAGACUUUGCCGGACUAGCUGAGAGGUGGUGCAUGGCCGUCGUCAGUUCGUACUGUGAAGCAUCCUGUUAAGUCAGGCAACGAGCGAGACCCACGCCCACAGUUGCCAGCGUACUCUCUGGAGUGACGGGUACACUGUGGGGACCGCCGCUACUAAAGCGGAGGAAGGAAUGGGCAACGGUAGGUCAGUAUGCCCCGAAUAUCCCGGGCUACACGCGAGCUACAAUGGUUGGUACAAUGGGUAUCUACCCCGAAAGGGGACGGGAAUCUCCUAAAACCAAUCUUAGUUCGGAUUGAGGGCUGCAACUCGCCCUCAUGAAGCUGGAAUCCGUAGUAAUCGCGUUUCAACAGAACGCGGUGAAUACGUCCCUGCUCCUU
rnacentral:rRNA from 1 species